rnacentral:rRNA from 1 species
AAGGCAGCUACCUGGCGACAGGAUGCUAAUCCCAAAAACCUCUCUCAGUUCGGAUCGAAGUCUGCAACCCGACUUCGUGAAGCUGGAUUCGCUAGUAAUCGCGCAUCAGCCAUGGCGCGGUGAAUACGUUCCCGGGCCUUGUACACACCGCCCGUCAAGCCAUGAAAGCCGGGGUACCUGAAGUACGUAACCGCAAGGAGCGUCCUAGGGUAAAACUGGUAAUUGGGGCUAAGUCGUAACAAGGUAAC